CGAUGGCUGUCGUCAGCUCGUGUCGUGAGAUGUCGGUUAAGUCCGCUAACGAGCGCAACCCUCGCUGUGUGUUACAAGUGUCACACGGUACUGCCGGUAUUAAGUCGGAGGAAGGUGGGGAUGACGUCAAGUCAGCAUGACCUUUAUAUCCAGGGCUACACACACGCUACAAUGGUCAGUACAAUAGGUUGCCAAGCCGCGAGGCGGAGCCAAUCCUAAAAAGCUGGCCUCAGUUCAGAUUGCAGUCUGCAACUCGACUGCAUGAAGUUGGAGUUGCUAGUAACCGCAGGUCAGCUAUACUGCGGUGAAUACGUUCCCGGGGAUU
rnacentral:rRNA from 1 species